rnacentral:rRNA from 1 species
UACGUAGGGUGCAAGCGUUGUCCGGAAUUAUUGGGCGUAAAGAGCUCGUAGGCGGUUUGUCGCGUCUGCUGUGAAAACUCGGGGCUUAACCCCGGGCCUGCAGUGGGUACGGGCAGACUAGAGUGCGGUAGGGGAGACUGGAAUUCCUGGUGUAGCGGUGAAAUGCGCAGAUAUCAGGAGGAACACCGGUGGCGAAGGCGGGUCUCUGGGCCGUAACUGACGCUGAGGAGCGAAAGCGUGGGAGCGAACAGG